CUCGACCUUUAGACGCGUAUCUUCAUUCUUAUGCCUGUACAAUAUCGCGCAUUCAUCUAACUCGGGCGUGCAGUUACAAUCUUGGCAAAGUAGCGGAAGA
rnacentral:lncRNA from 1 species